rnacentral:lncRNA from 1 species
GAAAUGCUCCUUAUGUGAAAAACGCCUGGAACUUCUCAAGACAAAAUACCUCCACAUAAAGGUUAAUCUUCCUUUUUAGUUUUAAUCUCCUUUUCCAUUUUCCUAUUGAUAAGUUUUGGUUGUAAUGAAUAUUAGCCCUUUGGGCCUUUGAAGCGAAUUUAAGCCAUUUUGGCACCUUUUACCAUAUUGGCUUUCUUUAACUUGCAUGCAAUUACUCGUUUCUUA